GCAAGGCAGUGAGGAGAUAAAUCAGAUACUUGCAGUGCAAGAUAGUUUAAAUCCUGACCCAGAGCGCUCGAGCAACUUUGUGCAUCCCCUCAGGAUGGACAGUGUGGAUAACGUUCCUCAGUGGAGAAACCACCACAGAAUCUGCUGUAUUUGUUUCAAGAUUUUCCAGCUGAUGAGACUAAGAGCCUGUGUGAAACACAACCAGGACACAGCACUCACCAAAAGCAUUGCUGCACAACCCCCUCAGAGCGAGGGACCAAGAGCCUGACCCAACGCUCAGCAGACCUGGGAGCUGUGUGUAACACGGAGUUUUCCUUAUCUCUUCCAGGAACAGCACAGUAGAAGGGAAGUGGAAAGUAAAUCCCCAUUUGCUAAUCUGGUAAAUGUUAUAA